rnacentral:rRNA from 1 species
AUUGCACGCUGGCGGCAUGCUUUACACAUGCAAGUCGGACGAGUGGCGUACGUGUGAGUAACAUAUCGGAACGUACCGAGUAAUGGGGGAUACCUACUCGAAAGAUUAGCUAAUACCGCAUAUUAUUCUAGCGGCCGAUAUCUGAUUAGCUGGUUGGUGGGGUAAAGGCAUACGAAGGCGACGAACAGUAGCGGGGCUGAGAGGAUGAUCAGCAACAAUGGGACGGAGAAACGGCCCAGACUCCCACGGGAGGCAGCAGUGGGGAAUUUUGGACAAUGGGCGAAAGCCUGAUCGAGCCAUGCCGCGUGGCUGAAGAAGGCCUUCGGGUUGUAAAGGACUUUUGUCAGGGAAGCGGUAACUGAAGAAUAAGAACCGGCUAAAUACGUGCCAGCAGCCGCGGUAAUUC